UAACCUGCCCCAGACUCCGGGAUAAGCCUUGGAAACGAGGUCUAAUACUGGAUAUGAGAUGCCCCUGCAUGGGGAGUGUCUGGAAAGAUUUAUCGGUCUGGGAUGGACUCGCGGCCUAUCAGCUUGUUGGUGGGGUAAUGGCCUACCAAGGCGACGACGGGUAGCCGGCCUGAGAGGGCGACCGGCCACACUGGGACUGAGACACGGCCCAGACUCCUACGGGAGGCAGCAGUGGGGAAUAUUGCACAAUGGGCGAAAGCCUGAUGCAGCGACGCCGCGUGAGGGAUGAAGGCCUUCGGGUUGUAAACCUCUUUCAGCAGGGAAGAAGCGCAAGUGACGGUACCUGCAGAAGAAGCGCCGGCUAACUACGUGCCAGCAGCCGCGGUAAUACGUAGGGCGCAAGCGUUGUCCGGAAUUAUUGGGCGUAAAGAGCUCGUAGGCGGUUUGUCGCGUCUGGUGUGAAAACUCAAGGCUCAACCUUGAGCUUGCAUCGGGUACGGGCAGACUAGAGUGCGGUAGGGGUGACUGGAAUUCC
rnacentral:rRNA from 1 species